AACUCAUGGUGAGGGCAUCAUCUCAAUAAGUCCUUAUACCUCUCUCAUACAUCAUAUAAGGUCUCUAAAUCGAACUGAAUGAAAGAAAAGAUAUCAUUCAUCAACUU
rfam:Gossypium hirsutum cultivar TM-1 chromosome 22, whole genome shotgun sequence